AUGGGAGGGGCUUGGGUACAAUUCCGAAUACGCUAUUAUAUGUUUGCGCUCGUUUUUGUUGUUUUUGAUGUGGAAACCGUCUUUCUAUACCCUUGGGCAAUGAGUUUCGACGUAUUGGGUGUAUCCGUUUUUAUCGAAGCUUUGAUUUUCGUG
rnacentral:rRNA from 1 species